rnacentral:rRNA from 1 species
CAGCAGCCGCGGUAACACGGAGGGAGCUAGUGUUGUUCGGAAUUACUGGGCGUAAAGCGCACGUAGGCGGCUUUGUAAGUCAGAGGUGAAAGCCUGGAGCUCAACUCCAGAACUGCCUUUGAGACUGCAUCGCUUGAAUCCAGGAGAGGUGAGUGGAAUUCCGAGUGUAGAGGUGAAAUUCGUAGAUAUUCGGAAGAACACCAGUGGCGAAGGCGGCUCACUGGACUGGUAUUGACGCUGAGGUGCGAAAGCGUGGGGAGCAAACAGGACUAGAUACCCCUGUAGUCCCUGUCUCUUAUAC